UCCAAAAAAAGAAGUCUAAAGUUCGAGAGCCUCUCUCUCUAAAAACUAGAGAGAGAAAACAGAUCUGCAACCAACACCCCUCCCCCUCCUCUCUUACCUCCCUCCGGAUCCAGAUCGUUGGCUCGAGGGUUGGGGGCGGCUCUUCUUCAUUUUGUUUUCUUCGGUUGUCUUCUUCAACGCUGUGCAGGAGCUUUGGGUCAGGCUGGGGACUCUUGGAUCCUGGUCGGUUCGUCCCGCUGGUGUGGUGCGGAGGUGCGGCGCGGUUGAGCGGUGGCUGUGGCGGUGGCGGAAAGGCCAGUUCCCGGAUCGGUUUCUACCGCGGUGGUUGCACGGCUGCCUUGGGAUCGGGUUGCAGUUGUCGAACAGAUUCAAUCUGUGGUGGCGCGGUAAUGUGCUGCGGUGUGACAUGACGCUGCGGUGGUGGAAUAGAUGGAAGCCAGUUCGGGUUCGACUAUGGUGGCUGCUCGGGCUGCGGUGCUUUGGGUUCGUUCGAAUGGUGGUGGCUGAAGAUAGUCGGGUCGGGUCGUGGUCAUGAGAUGGGAAAUUGAGAAUGGGGUUGUAUUAUGUGAAAAAGAAUUCCUCAAAAGCUGUUUACACUUCUGAACUGCAAUCUGUAUGUAUCGCUGGGAGUGGAGGGCUGCAGAGAGGAUCAAGAAGAGUAGUACAUGGUGGAGAGAUGGAUUUGGCCUUGGCAACAGAGGCAUCAAGUGUAUAUGAUUGAAGGGUGCACAAGGUGCUGUUACUGCUAUGAUGUACUUUACCUUGUUACAACCCUGCACGCGCAUCCUAGCUAUCCUCUGCAGAGGUGGAGAACUGUGACUACUUGCAAGAUCACAUGCUCAACUUAAGUUGCUAGUAGCUGCUGGCAUGUUUAAAUGUUAAAGUUUAUAACAGGGCAGAGUUAUACCAGUAGUUGCUUCAAAUAUAGUUAUCUGUUCAGAUUCAUGGCUCGUGGUUAGUAUCACUUGUUCAUAAUGAGAAUGUACGUUUAACUAGGAAUUAGAUAAGAUUAGAAUGUACGUUUAACUAGGAAUUAGUUACAAGAAGUGCUUGUAGUCAAGUAUAUUGUAACGAGUAAUAGAUACAAUGACGUUUUGGGAUUGUAAAGAUUAUUUGUAUGUAAAUGUCUUCUUUUUGUUUCAA